AACCCACAGACCGCGAGAUCAUGACCUGAGUCCAAGUCAGACGCUGGGCCGACUGACCCCCAGGCGCCCCUUUCACGCCCUCCUCUGAACUGCUCGUACAGUCUUCACGGCUCCCUCGUUCAGGGAGAAGUUGGCCCAGGAGGAUGGUGCACCUGCGUCUGCGUGAGGCUCGCGGUGCUGUCCCGGCCAACGUUCCCUUUCACGCUGAGGGGCCCCAACCAAAUCUGGCUUGGCUGCCACUUCCCUGCUGCGUUUUGCUGGGAUCCUUGGGGGGUUGGAGUGUUGGUGGUGAGGACAGUGUCGCCUAGUCAUUUAGGACCUCAUCGUUGGAAUUUGGUCUCUUGAGAAAAACAAAAGGUUGGGAAUGAAAGCCUGUGGGUCCCCUUCAUCCUGGCCUGAGCCUUUCACACACUCCCCCCAGCUUGGGCACCCCACUUUCCAGACGCAGCCUCAGCUCCUCCGCUGCGUAACCCUCUGAGAGAGGCCACUGCUGUCCCCACUGCAGACGGAGACUCCAUUCCUGGCUGGCUUUGAGGAGCCAAGCCGCCGGGUCCAGAGUCCCUUCACGGAGACGUCCAAGUGGCAAGAAACUGAAGGUGGCCUUUAGCCAAAAGCCAGCAAGGAGCAGAGACUCUGGGUCCCUCUGCCCACCAGGAACCGAAUCCCAACAACAGCCACAUGAACCGGGACACGGAUCCGUCCCCAGGCAAGCCGUCAAAUGACACCGCAGUCCUGGUGGGCUCCUGAGAGACCGUGAAGCAGAGGGCCAGCCAGGCCGUGUCUGAUCCCUGACCCCAGAGACUGUGAGUCGAUGUGUGCUGUUUGCAGCCACCAUGUCUGCGAUGACCUGUUACAAAGCAACAGAUUUCCAGCACGUCUUGUUCUAGAAAUGUUCAUUCAUGCAUUCCACUGGUACUGACUGGCCAUGCAGUCAGUGAACAGAACAGAGUGAGGUCCCUGCUCCCAUGAAGCAUGCAUUCUAGAGUUUGUAUGCAUAUAGGUGUGAGGGUGGGUGUGGCUUGAACCGUAGACACAAUAAAUGAGUUGCACAAUCAA